UACGUAGGGCGCAAGCGUUGUCCGGAAUUAUUGGGCGUAAAGAGCUCGUAGGCGGCCAGUUGCGUCUGCUGUGAAAUCCCGGGGCUCAACCCCGGGCGUGCAGUGGAUACGGGCUGGCUAGAGGCAGGCAGGGGAGAACGGAAUUCCCGGUGUAGCGGUGAAAUGCGCAGAUAUCAGGAGGAACACCGGUGGCGAAGGCGGGUCUCUGGGCCGAUACUGACGCUCAUGCACGAAAGCGUGGGGAGCAAACAGG
rnacentral:rRNA from 1 species